AGACUCAACUCUUGAGAGGUUUCUUGCGAGUUGGAUUUGGGCGUUGCCAUUUAUUUGGCUCGCCUUAAAAGUGUUAGUGGUUUAAGCACUUGAUCGGACGUGAUAAGUUUCGUCCGGUUGUGUGUUGUCGACCGCUCCUAAACCAACCGCCUUGCGGCGCUCUUUGA
rnacentral:misc_RNA from 1 species